GUUGAUUCGGGCAAAGAGUCUCGAUGGGCCGUGUCCUGUACAGUCACACACAUGACUUAAUCUGAUUCUUCGAAAAAGUUCAAAUAGGAAAAUUCAGUGGUUCUAGAAUCCAAGUUCUGAGGACUGUUGGACAGUCCCUUGGCAACAAAAGCAACUUCUAUGUUGUUUCGAACGUUAGAUAUACAUAUACAAUACUAAUACUUACAGUACAGUAAUUGGCAUUGAGAUGUGGAUAAGUAUUUUGAUUUGGACGACACGUGCAUGUUACACUGUUUAAAAUUGGCUGUACAUAUUUAUAUACAGUGGACAAAUAUAUUAUGAGUGCCUUA